rnacentral:pre_miRNA from 1 species
AGCCUUCUAAGUCCUUGCCGAAAUUUCAUCAGACACUAGAUCAUUAGUACUGAUGAGACUCCCAAGACAAUUGAAGUG